UGGGCGAGAGCCUGAACCAGCCAAGUAGCGUGAAGGAUGACUCGCCCUAUGGGUUGUAAACUUCUUUUAUAAAGGAAUAAAGUCGGGUAUGCAUACCCGUUUGCAUGUACUUUAUGAAUAAGGAUCGGCUAACUCCGUGCC
rnacentral:rRNA from 1 species